rnacentral:rRNA from 1 species
AGAGUUUGAUCAUGGCUCAGAACGAACGCUGGCGGCGUGCUUAACACAUGCAAGUCGAGCGAGAAAGGAGGGGCAACCCCCUGAGUAGAGCGGCGCACGGGUGAGUAACGCGUGGGUAACCUACCCCCAGGCGGGGGAUAACCACUCGAAAGGGUGGCUAAUACUGCAUGAGACCACGGGAUCUUCGGAUCCUGAGGCUAAAGAUCGCACCGGCUUGCCGGUGCUGUCACCAGGGGAUGGGCCCGCGUCCGAUUAGCUAGUUGGCGAGGUAAUGGCUCACCAAGGCUGCGAUCGGUAGCUGGUCUGAGAGGAUGAUCAGCCACACUGGAACUGAAACACGGUCCAGACUCCUACGGGAGGCAGCAGUGAGGAAUAUUGCGCAAUGGGGGAAACCCUGACGCAGCAACGCCGCGUGGGUGAAGAAGGCCUUCGGGUCGUAAAGCCCUUUCGGACGGGACGAACGCUCCGCGGUGACAAGCCGCGGAGUCUGACGGUACCGUAGGAAGAAGCACCGGCUAACUCCGUGCCAGCAGCCGCGGUAAUACGGAGGGUGCGAGCGUUGUUCGGAAUUACUGGGCGUAAAGCGCGUGUAGGCGGCCUUGCAAGUCAGGCGUGAAAGCCCUCGGCUUAACCGGGGAAGUGCGUCUGAAACUGCUUGGCUUGAGUACGGGAGAGGGAGGCGGAAUUCCCAGUGUAGAGGUGAAAUUCGUAGAUAUUGGGAGGAACACCGGUGGCGAAAGCGGCCUCCUGGACCGAUACUGACGCUGAGACGCGAAAGCGUGGGGGAGCAAACAGGAUUAGAUACCCUGGUAGCCCACGCGGUAAACGAUGGGCACUAGGUGUGGGGGGUGUCCACUCCUCCCGUGCCGAAGCUAACGCAUUAAGUGCCCCGCCUGGGGAGUACGGCCGCAAGGUUAAAACUCAAGGAAUUGACGGGGGCCCGCACAAGCGGUGGAGCAUGUGGUUUAAUUCGACGCACGCGAAGAACCUUACCUGGGGCUUGACAUCCCGGGAAACUCCCUGGAAACAGGGGGGGUGCCCUCGAAAGAGGGAGCCCGGAGAACAG